CCUACGGGUGGCAGCAGUGAGGAAUAUUGGUCAAUGGCCGGAAGGCUGAACCAGCCAAGUCGCGUGAGGGAAUAAUGCCCUAUGGGUCGUAAACCUCUUUUGUCAGGGAGCAAAGGCGUCCACGUGUGCACGAGAGGAUAGUACCUGUAGAAAAAGCAUCGGCUAACCCCUUGCCACCAGCCGCGGUAAUACGGAGGAUGCGAGGGUUAUCCGGAUUUUUUGGGUUUAAAGGGUGCGUAGGCGGAGUGUAAAGGCAGCGGUAAAAUUUGGGGGCCAAACGCAAAAGUGCCGUUGAUACUGGCAGCCUUGAGUGCGUGAGAGGUAAGCGGAAUGCGUGGUGUAGCGGUGAAAUGCAUAGAUAUCACGCAGAACGCCGAUUGCGAAGGCAGUUUACCGGCGCUCAACUGACGCUGAGGCACGAAAGUGCGGGUAUCGAACAGGAUUAGAUACCCUAGUAGUC
rnacentral:rRNA from 1 species